rnacentral:rRNA from 1 species
CCUACGGGAGGCAGCAGUGGGGAAUUUUGGACAAUGGGCGAAAGCCUGAUCCAGCCAUUCCGCGUGAGUGAAGAAGGCCUUCGGGUUGUAAAGCUCUUUCGCAAGGGAAGAAAACUUAGAUACUAAUAUUAUCUGAGGUUGACGGUACCUUGAUAAGAAGCACCGGCUAACUACGUGCCAGCAGCCGCGGUAAUACGUAGGGUGCGAGCGUUAAUCGGAAUUACUGGGCGUAAAGCGUGCGCAGGCGGUUUUGUAAGUCAGAUGUGAAAUCCCCGAGCUCAACUUGGGAACUGCGUUUGAAACUACAAGACUAGAAUAUGUCAGAGGGGGGUUAGAAUUCCACGUGUAGCAGUGAAAUGCGUAGAGAUGUGGAGGAAUACCAAUGGCGAAGGCAGCCCCCUGGGAUAAUAUUGACGCUCAUGCACGAAAGCGUGGGGAGCAAACAGGAUUAGACUACCCGUGGUACGUCCACGACCCUAAACGAUGUCUACUAGUUGUUGGUGUAAGUAAACUCAUAGAGUAACG